rnacentral:lncRNA from 1 species
AUGUAUAAAAUUUUGCUCGCCCAUCCUUUCCAUGAAACAUUUGUGAUUUAAGCUUUAAGAAUCUUUGUGGGAUGAUUCUCCCCUCUUCCCAUUGCAAUAGACUUCUUAAUAAAAUGUUUUCAAGUUCCUGUCCAGAUUGGAUGACUUACUAUAGUGGUAAUGGUGCCAUGAUUUGAACAAAAUUCUGGCUGCCCCUCAACUGUUGUUUUUCUUCAACUUGCUGUGAUUGGACAGUAUGCUGACUUCCAGCCUGCUCUCUUCAGGCAAGUGGUGGUGCUGUCUCGUUAAACUCUUUGAAACCUGACUUGGAAAGCAAAAUCAAAAAUGUUUCUCUUCCUGAGACAUGAUGUUGCCAAGACCUUGCAGGAGACAACGUAGACAACAAUCUUUAAUGAAAGUAUAAAUAAAGGAGCAUUUGGAACGACGAAGUUAUAUCAUUUUAAAAA